rnacentral:rRNA from 1 species
CCUACGGGUGGCUGCAGUGGGGAAUAUUGCACAAUGGGGGAAACCCUGAUGCAGCAACGCCGCGUGAGUGAGGAAGGAUUUCGGGAUGUAAAGCUCUAUCAGCAGGGAAGAGAAAAGAAGGGACCGGAAAAAGAAGCCCAGGCUAACUACGUGCCAGCAGCCGCGGUAAUACGGAGGGGGCAAGCGUGAUCCGGAUUUACAGGGUGUAAAGGGAGCGUAGAAGGGAAGGAAAGUCAGAAGUGACAACCCAAGGCUCAACCAUGGGACUGCUUUUGAAACUGUCAAACUAGAGUACGGGCGAGGUCAGCGGAAUUCCUCGUGUAGCGGUGAAAUGCGUAGAUCUUAGGAGGAACCCCAGUGGCGAAGGCGUCUUACUGGACCGAAACUGCCGUUGAGGCUCGACAGCGUGGGGAGCAAACAGGAUUAGAUACCCGGGUAGUC